GUUUGUGGUUUAAAAGAAACAAUAGUAGAAGAACAAACUAAACGAAACCGAAUCGCACAAGGGAAAAGUCGUGCAGAAAUAAGCCCUGACGAGGGACCAAACACAACGACGCUGGUUGACCGCGUUAGCUUUCCAGUCAUCCACAUCGACACCCACGAAGCAGGACUAUCAACAAAACAGCAAGUACUGUGUGUCACCAUUCACCACACGCUCACCCACAAACAGAAUUUCUCAAAUAAAUACCAUCUAUUUAAAUUCAUAACGUUUUUCGAAACAAAUUACACAACGCAGCCCUUUGUUUUCCCUUCAUUUACUUUUGCACUCGUCAUCCAGGUUCAAACGGAACCGCAAGGCUUCGCUCGCCGACAACAGACAGGGUAACCCGUACAGAAGCCUUUGAGUCCAGGUUCGUGAGAUUCUGGUUGGAAAGAAUCGUGUUUUUUUUAUAGAGGUGAGGAACGCUCUUCCAGCCUUAUCUGGGAAGGGAUAACCCAGACGUCGAGUGGGGAUCGCACCCACAAAAAUCAAGCCCUCUACUAGUAGUCUCAUUCCCCCCGGGACCACAUCUAGGCGACUACUUCAGGGGGCGGCUGUGCUCAUGCACUUCACGAGUUUUCAACGCUAACUAACGUUGAUCCUUACCUUUUUCUCUAUAUUCUUAUUCACCAUUCGUUUCUCUCCACUGCGCUUAUGACCAUUUUGCAGGCAUCCAUUUACCCGUCGAGACGUGCACCGAUUAGGAAGCGCCCUCCAACUUAACGCGCGCCCCGUCAUAGUCACCCUCGCAGGAUUUCUCUUCCCAACGGAGCGCCGAUUAGGUAGUGCCCUCCAACCUGACGCGCACUCCGUCACAGCUACUCUCGUGGGGUAUGCACCAUUUUGUCGAUGGCUUCCUCCAUGAUGCUCGCUCCUUCGAAAUGUUCGCAGUGUUCCUCCAUCCAGGCCACGAUAAGGCGUUGCCAGGCAGGCAUUUUUCUGUUCUUCGCGACAGUAUCCGUUUACCUGUCGAGACGUGCACCGAUUAGGAAGCGCCCUCCAACUUCACGCGCGCCCCGUCACAGCCACCCUCGCAGGAUUUCGCUUCCCAAAGGAGCGCCGAUUAGGUAGUGCCCUCCAACAUAAUGCGCACUCCGUCACAGCAACUCUCGUGAGGUACACCGAUUUGGUGACGCCUUCCUAGGCGCUCGCUUCGUCGAAGUCCUCGCAGUAUUAUUCUUUCCAAUCCACCAUGAGGCAUUGCCAAUUUGUCAAUCCUUCUCGCCAGCUUACCCGUUGAGACGUGUACCGAUUAGGAAUUGCCCUCCAACUUGACGUGCAACCCGUCACAGCCACCCUCGCGGGAUUUCUCACCUGUCGAGACGUGAACCGAUUAGGAAGCGCCCUCCAACGUAACGCGCGCUCCGUCACAGUCACCCUCGCAAGAUUUCUCUUCCCAGCGGAGCGCCGAUUAGGUAGUGUCCUUCAACAUAACGCGGACUCCGUCACGGCCGCUCUCGUGGGGUACUCCGGUGCUUCAGAUCUCGCUGUGGUUCAUACUUUAUAGUCAGGAGUUAUCCGCACGCUGGUUGGUCCUCCACUUCCGCUGUAGCUCGGACAUGAUGUGGACGAUUGCACUGUUCACUGCGUUCCAGGUGCACUCCUUACAACACAUUCCCUCUACGAUAUUCCCAGCAUGAAGCGUAGGCAGCCCCUCGCGCCUUGUGGUGAAUCUUGGACAUACAAAUACGACGUGUUCCCGUGUUUCCUCCACAUCUCCACACUCCGGACAAAGAGGCGAUCUUGCAUGUCCAAACCGGUGCAGAUACUGCCUGAAGCAGCCAUGCCCAGACAAAAACUGCGUUAGGUGAAAAUUUACCUCUCCAUGUUUCCUGUUUACCCAGCCCAUUAGUGUCGGUAUGAGCCUGUGCGUCCAUAUGUCGUUUUGAGCCGCACUCCACUCUUGCUGUCACCUAGCCAUCGACUCUGUCCUCAUGAGCUUCCGGAUUCCACUGGUUCCCCUCCUCAUAUAGUACUUGCUGUCUUCCGCCAAGAUGAUGUUGAUAGGGACCAACCUGGCUAUGACGCAGACCGCUUCUGUUGAUAUGGUUCUGUACGCACUCGCGACUUGCAUCGCCAUGAGCCGGUACGUACUAUUCAGCCUCCUCGUGUUCCGCUGAGUUUCUAACGCCGCGAUCCAGGCUGGACCCCCGUAUCGUAAUGUCGAUGAGGAGACACUAGCCAAAAGGUGCCUCUUGCUGCUGCUUGGGUCAAAGUUGUUGGGCAUGAUUCGUGUCAGUGCAUUGAUUGCCUUCGUUGCUUUUUUACAAGCGUAGUCGAAGUGACUGUUGAAGUUCAGUCGAUCAUCGAUCUGCACCCCCAGGUAUUUUAAGUCUCGCUUCGAGGUUAUCGAGUGCUUUCCAAUUGUGAUUUCUGCACGUUACACCGCCCUGCGGUUGCUGACAAUCAGCAUUUCCGUCUUGUGGUGGACUAUCUGCAGUUUCACACUUUGCAUCCACCUUCCGAUCAUGUCUAUCGACUCGGUCGCGAGCAUUUCGACCCGUUCCAAGGAUUCUCCGGUCACGAGAAUAACGAUGUCAUCCGCGAAGCCAGCAGCGAAGCAGAUUCAGUUUUAGUACGCCAUCGUACAUACUGUUCCAGAGCGAUGGACCCAAGAUAGAGCCCUGCGGAACUCCAGCCGUAGUUUUAAUCUGCGCCUGGCCCGUGUUUGUCUCGUACACCAGCACACGGUUCUCGAAGUAGCUUCUCAGUAUUCUACACAGGUAGUCUGGGACUCUCAUCGUGGGGAGCGCAGUCGUGAUGGCCUCCCAGCUGGCACUAUUGAACGCGCUCUUAACGUCGAUCAUUAUCACUGCGUAGUAUCGAUUUCCUCUGAGCUUCUGUUUGGAUGCUCUGUUUGCUCUUUCGACCACUAUGCGAAUGGCAUCUACCGUGGAUCUUUCCGAAAUCCGAAUUGACUAUCGGACAGUCCACGAACUCCCUCCGUGCAUUCCGUCAGCCUAUUCUUUUUCUUUUCUUUUAUUUUAUUUAAUCCAUCUGACAUCAAAUUGUCUUAAUGGACCUAACCAAGUCAGUAUCAAAUACACGCAUUGCGAGUGUCAACUUAUUCUGAAAUAAUCAUUUAAUCUAUUCCGAAGCGCAUUGCUAGCGAGAUUAAAGUCGAAGAUGUGAAAAAUCCUAUUGAAUGUAGCAGACAUAAACUCCAUCGGAUCAUGCUGGCCAUACAAACUAUUCCGGAAAUCGAGCCUAAGGAAAUCACGAUGACGUAGGGUGCGUUCUGGAGCAUACAUGUUUAGAUUAGCUAGCAAGAAAGGGAAGUCAAUCUCGUUCCUCAGCAGCUUCGUAACAAACAUGGCUUGUGCUGCAGAUCGCCUGUUUUCCAGAGUAUCAAUUCGCAGCAGAUUACAGCGUUCCUCGUAAGGAGGCAAUUCCCUUGGAUUCCGCCAUGGAAGAUUCCUCAAAGCACGACGUACGAACUUUCUUUGUACAGAUUCAAUGCGCGCUUUCCAAAUGCUGGGGAAAGGGCACCAUACAACAGAAGCAAAUUCCAGGAUAGAACGAACCAGCGCACAGUAUAGAGAUUUCAAGCUAAGCGGAUCCUUAAAUCCAUUGGUUACCUUCAGAACAAAACCGAGCUGCUUGUUUGCCCUGGAGAUGAUGUCGUUGUAGUGGUAGAUGAAAGUGAACUCCUUGUCAAGCAUUACACCCAAGUCGCGCACUUGUUGAACCCGCUCGAUGGCUUUGCCGGAUAACAUGUAGGAGAAAUUGAUGGGAUUCCGCUUUCUGGUGAACGAUAUAACUUGGCAUUUCUCGACGCUUAACGUCAUACAAUUUCGUACACACCACGACUCAAAAAUGUUCAGCAAGCUUUGAAGAUGAUGACAAUCAUUUAUGUCUUCGACAAUAACGUAGACCUUAGAAUCAUCAGCAUAGAAGAGUCUCGUUCCACGUGGCAGGAUGAAGGACACGUCGUUUAUAAAUAAUGCGAAAAGUAAGGGGCCUAAAUUGCUCCCCUGAGGCACUCCAGAUAUGUUUGUGAACGGCUCGGACUCAUGUGACCCUUUUCUCACACACAAAGCUCGAUUCUUCAGGUAGGACUCGAACCACUCGACAAAACCAAGGGCUACGCCACAUUUCGCUAGUUUUUCGAGAAGGAUUUGAUGAUCAACCCGGUCAAAAGCUGCCUUCAAGUCCAAGUAGACGGCAUCCACUUGGUUACCAGCAUCCAUGGCGCGAAUACAACGCGAUGAGAACUCAACUAGAUUGGUGUUCACGGAUCUUUGUGGGUAGAAACCAUGCUGAUUCGUUGAGAUGUGCUGCUUGCAACUAGCAAAAAGCGAUUCAUUUAUAAUGAUCUCAAACAGCUUCGAGCAGGCGCAAAGAGAAGUAAUGCCGCGAUAAUUUUUAACAUCUCGUUUAUCUCCUUUCUUGUGGAUGGGGAAUAGGUACGAUUUUUUCCAGCUCGAGGGAAACACACGUUGCUGCAGUGAUCGAUUAAAAAGUUUCGUCAGCGGAGAGGCCAGUGCAGAACUGCAUUUUUUCAACACUGCAGGUGAAAUUCCAUCCGGGCUUGGAGCAUACGAGAAUUUAAGCCUUUGAAUUGCUUUGACUACAUCCUGUUCAGAUAUUUCGAACAUUUCAACGCUAUAUACAUCCCGGGGAGCAUCCUGGACAGAUAAUCUCACCUGUUCAGGUUGAGCUGUAUAACUGUUGAAGGCGCGUUUGAACUGUCGUGCAAAUAGUUCGCAUUUUCCACUGAUCGAGUCAGCAGAAAGUUCGUCAAGAUACAUUGAUGUCGGGAGACCUUUUUCAUUUCGCUUUGAGUUGACGAACGACCAGAACCGUUUUGGAUUCACACGUAGGCUCUCCUCAAUACGAAUCUUGUAUCUGGCAUACAAAAAUCCAUUGUAUCUCCUGUACUCAUUACUGGUCCGAUUGAACUGCAGCUUCGAGUGUUGAGAACGUUGACUGCAGUAGGAACGUAGAGCAGCAGAUCGACGACGUUUCAGCAAGCGUAAACGGUUGUUUGACCAUGGCGGUUUACACGGAGGAGACUUCAAAGGAACGUGUGCUGUAAUCGCCUGAAGUACAGCGUUGGAGAAGAAUCCAACUGCUCUAUCGGUAUCUUGAAUCGUGUCCAGAGUAUUCCAGUCGACCACGAGUAAUGCUGCACAUAAAUGCUCAAAAUUGGCCCGUUUGAAAUCGAAACCAGGAUCGUUACGUUCUGUUUCGUAUGUUACAGCCGUUGGAUAUGCAACGAUUAGCUCGAGUGGAGGAUGACGAGGAUCAAUCCUAGAGAGCGAUUCAACGGAUUCGCUAAUCUGGUAACCAGGUAGCACGAUGUCGUUUACGAGGACAAGAUCAAGAGUCCUGUUCUCUGCAUUCUCCAAGCUGUUAAUUUGGGACAAGCCGUGGAAGCAGAAACCAUCCAGAAAUGAGCAGCUGGCAGCACACGGUCGAGAGCGAUCCAGAUCAACUGACGCGUAGCCAUCCUCGUUAACAGCCCAGUGCACAUCACAGAGAUUAUAAUCACCAAACUGCAGUGCAAUGUCGUUAGGAGAGAGAUUCGAAUGGAUUGUGCCAAUUGAAUCGAUGUGUUUACGAAUAGCAGAGAUGUCAUUCUUUCUACUUGGAAAAUAGAGAACUCCAAUACUAACGAUUCUAUCCAUGGAUUCAAUCCUGAUCCAGAGGAAAAUAGAGAACUCCAAUACUAACGAUUCUAUCCAUGGAUUCAAUCCUGAUCCAGAGCUGUUCAAGCGUAACGUCGACCGGUGUUGGAUCUAUAUAGGAGCUGUAUCUAGACGAAACAGCAAUAAAUACUCCACCACCCGUUGAUUUGCGGCUGUUUUGAGCAUUGCGAUCCGUUCUGUAAACAGAGUAGCCGUUCCCGAAGAGUUGCGACGAAUAGAUGCAAUCAUCUAACCAGGUCUCAGUGAGCACAACCAUGUCGUAAUCAGCAUCGCUGAUAGUCAGGAAAAAAGCAUCGAUUUUGGUACGUAAUCCACGUUCUGGUAAUAGAUGCGUAGGCUACUGAAAGGUACAGAAGCAUCAGGGGAGUAACCGUUGAUUUGUGUGUCAUACUUGCCGUAUGGAGCAAGCUGGAAAAUCCCUUCGCCAGACCCUCUAGCAGGACCGGGACGACUGGUGAGCGCAGGCUGGAUGGUCACGACUGCAGAGGGCGGCUCGGGAAUUUCCAAAAUGCUCGAUGACGUGCGUCCCGGUUGAGAAGCCAUGUUCAAAGGGCGAGAGGUGGAUUUACUUAAGCUGGAUGUGCAGGCUGGAUGACCAUUUUCAGGUGAAUCAGAGGCAGAAGGGACUGACAGACAGCGAGGAGUAUAAGAUCGAUGAUGAAUGUUGGUCCGUUCGACUGAGUCUGAUGAUGAAUGUUGGUCCGUUCGACUGAGUCUGAGUGGUUGUGGGCUCUCUUGGUGCUUUGCAGCAUGCAUCCCGGUUGAAUAAUAUCCAACGUUGAACGGGAACAGUCUAAAUCGUUUUGGUAGUGGAUGCGUAGGCUACUGGAAGGUACAGUAGCAUCAGGACAGUAUUUGUUGAUUGGUUUUUUUUUUUUUUUUUUUAUCUGUAUUACAGUGACUUUCAACUCAUUUGGCUGGUUCGUCACUUUUACUUCCAUUUUUGGAAGAAUGUCGGGAGUGAGAAUUGAACUCGUGACCUUUAGCGUGAGAGGCAUGGAUGUUACCACUACGCCAGAUCGCCUCCUUGUUGAUUGGUGUGUAGUACUUGCCGAAUGAAGCAAGCUGGAAGAUCCCUUCGCCAGGCCCUCUAGCAGGACCGGGACGACUGGUGAUCGCAGGCUGGAUGGUCACGACUGCAGAGGGUGGCUCGGGGAUUUCCAAAAUGCUCGAUGACGUGCGUCCCGCUAGAGAAGCCAUGCCUAAAAGGGGAGAGGUGGGACUGGAAGUGCAGGCUGGAUGUCCAAGGUCCAAGGUCCAAAGGUCCAAGGUUGAACGGGAACAAUUUAAAUUAAGCGAGGAGUUUUUGUAAACCCCUGCUCAACUUUCUUAUCUUGAUUAUUUACGAAUUCCCGAAAGUAAACUCCGUCUGGCCACGUGUCUGCACUUAGAGCUACCUCACGAUACUUUUCAUCGACACCAAUUUUAAAAGAAAUGAACCGCAUAGAAGAUAAAUCAGCAUUAGGUUAGUGUAGUUAUAAUUUAAGCUAGUAAUGUAAAUCAAGUAGUGUAAAUAAAAUAGUUGAUAAAAGACAUUAUUCCGUGUGUUGAUUCUCACAGUGUUAACGAGUUUUAUUUAGCAGCUGAUUCAACGAGAGUGGUCGUCAGCGUAGAUCAGCGAGUGGAAAGUUUCGCAGCACGCAGCUUUUCAUCCAGCUACUUCCCGGCGACUGUGAUUGUCGCAUGCGUGAGGCAUCACCAGCUGUUCAGUUAAUCCGAGGAAAGGUCACGAGCAUCUUUGCCUCUUCCCCAACCAUAUACAGUCCACAAUCGAACCAAACAGUUGCUAUUUAUUUACUGCGUGGGGAGGAAAGUACAAAAAUGCACAGAACAAAUGAAUGAGAAAAUGGUGAUGUUUCAAUUUUUUUUUCAAUUUGUACCAUUAUUGAACUAGGGUAAUGUACAGCAGAACCAGAACCGUUUUGGAUUCACACGUAGGCUCUCCUCAAUACGAAUCUUGUAUCUGGCAUACAAAAAUCCAUUGUAUCUCCUGUACUCAUUACUGGUCCGAUUGAACUACAGCUUCGAGUGUUGAGAACGUUGACUGCAGUAGGAACGUAGAGCAGCAGAUCGACGACGUUUCAGCAAGCGUAAACGGUUGUUUGACCAUGGCGGUUUACACGGAGGAGACUUCAAAGGAACGUGUGCUGUAAUCGCCUGAAGUACAGCGUUGGAGAAGAAUCCAACUGCUCUAUCGGUAUCUUGAAUCGUGUCCAGAGUAUUCCAGUCGACCACGAGUAAUGCUGCACAUAAAUGCUCAAAAUUGGCCCGUUUGAAAUCGAAACCAGGAUCGUUACGUUCUGUUUCGUAUGUUACAGCCGUUGGAUAUGCAACGAUUAGCUCGAGUGGAGGAUGACGAGGAUCAAUCCUAGAGAUUUGUACCAUUAUUGAACUAGGGUAAUGUACAGCACCUUAAACACAUCUUAGAAAAAAUUUUAUUGGUAUGCUAAUCAACAGCAAAAAAAUAAUAAGUACAAUAAAAUUGUUUCAUGAAAAUGUGACAUGGUUCCUGAAUUCAAAACCUCCAUGAGAGACAUAAAUACGUAAGUACAGGGAUAUCGUAACGGUGACGGAGCCUAUAUCCAGGACCAGGAUAUCUGCCACAACAAGCUGUGUAAUGAUGUGUGUAAUCACACUAAAUGAUUCACUAGUUGUGCCGGAAACGCUGGUAAUGUAUAUAAUAAUCAAACCCUAAAGCGGACCUUACACGGUCAACUUUAUUGACAAUAUGAUGACAUUUGAGAGCAUAAUGACAGCUGAACAUGGCCGACAACGCAGAAAUCCGGAUUUUCUGAUUUUCGGGCAUCAAUAUCGUGACAUUUCAUAUGGAUACAUGAUGUUGACGUUUUACCUCACGGACUUCCAGACUGAGUUGCCAGAUUUGCAAGCGGACAUUUAAUGUUUGUUAGUCUUUUUUGCGAUUGCAAUUAAAAUUUAUAAACUUCUGAAAUUGUAGCAAUCAUAAAUGAAAGCUUUUGGUUUGGAAAACUGAUAUAGUAAUUUACAUUUAAUGCGACAUGCCGGAGUACCACUCAGUGUCGCAUUGGAGGCGAUUUGACCUGUAAUUGGACAUUGAAGAUGAGAGUGGUACAGCGUCGACGUCUGGCGGCGAAUGUCAAUGUGGGGCCAUAAUUUGGGCCCGAACUCGAUGUUUACAAAAAUGUCUAACUAAACGUGUCGUAUAUAGGUCUGUCCAAUUAGAAAAAUGUCGCAUUAAAUGUAAAUUACUGUACCUAAAAUAGCAAAAUACAGUACUUUUCGCAAUACAAACCAAAACCUCAAAGUAACUGACAAUGUGAUGGUGAGAGAGUGAAUGAAAAUUAACAACGUCUUAGGAAUGUUUAAAACAUUGAACUCGGUCAUUCUUUGCGCUAGCGAGCGGGGCAGCCACUUUAGUCUAAGUUGUGUGUUUCUUCACACUCCGCUAUAAAAUUUGGAGAAUGAGAAGAUCUGGGAAAAUCACAGGUGAAAAAACAUCACGUGUUAAUUCAAGUUACAGUAGAAUCCCGAUUAUCCGUGAAUAGUCGGGAUGAUUUUUAAACAUAGAAACUAUGUUUUAUCAAUACAGAAAUAGAUACAGAUACAGAUAAUCGGGGUUCUACUGUCAUAGUCUUAUUUAUCGAAUAAAAACAUUUGCUUGCAGAUAAUAUAAUUUGCAUAUAUUUUCACAAUCUAAAAUAAUUUGGCAUCCCUGAAACUGAAAGGAUCAGUCUGUAUUUGUGAAGCGAGUAUUAUGAUGUGUUUUUGAGAAGGAAAAACGAGUUUUAAAGUGUAAAUUAUGAAUGAAAAUUAACUUUUCCAAAUCAAAUUAGUAUUCUAUGUGAAUGCAAAUCACUUUUUUUCUGCAAGUGGUGAGAAAAUCCCAUACAAAAAUUGUAUCUGAAACUGAAGUUAUAUAAUAAUAAUAAAUUUUAGUAGGAAUAUCUGAAAAUUCAUAGAAAAUAGGUUAAGUUAGAGUUAGGACUACGCGCUUCAACUAAUUAAAUAAUACCAAGUAGAUAUUUUCAUUCAAAUUUUACCAAUUGAAAAUUGCAAUUUAGCCUUCUAAUCUGAUGGAAUCCCAAACUCGAAUGUCACCACUAGCCAACGCGGAUAUUUUCGUUGUCUCGGGUUGAGGGCGAUAUUGACCGUGUAAGGUGGCAAAAUAUUGAUUGAGGUUAGAUCGGAUGUCGAAAGCCUAGCUGUCACGAUAUUGAAGACACUUAUUGUCAAUCAGUUUGAUCGUGUAAGGUGCCCAUAAGGACAGGACUGUUGUUGUCACCAAUUUGCAGGGCUGCAAUCGGCUAAAAACGACCCUAAUGAAAAUAUUUUGACUACACUGGAGGAAAACAUUAGUAAAUGCAACUACAAAAUCUUUAGUAGUUGAAACAUUGGUAAAAUGUACGCAUUUUUCGUAAAUAUUACCAAAACUUUGUAAAACGGAUGUCUUAUGCAAUACACAUCCCUACUAAAGGUUCGUACAUUUUACUUCAUAGCAUGUGUAACCUUGAUUGUUUUCAUUUCUAGGAACUGUAAUGUCCGUACUUCGCAGUCGUCAUUCCUCUUGAUGAAACAAAGCUAUUCGGAGCUUCUAAUCUUGGAUUCAAAUUGCACAGUUGACUAUUCAAUGUAUAUUAGACUGAACAUGUGCAACACAAAGAAAUCUCAGGAAACGGGAGAGCAAAUAAUGCGGAUGAAAUGAACUGCGAUCUGGUCCCAUCAACUGCCAACUAAUCAGUUGUUCCUGUCCUAAAGGAUGAAAAUGUGCAACAGUAAAAGGAGCAAAACCUUGAUGAGUGAUAACAACAGUAAAAGGAGCAAAACCUUGAUGAGUGAUGAUGUUUUUUCAAAAAAAAACAUAUGAGAUUGAUUCGGUCGAAACUGCGAUUAAAUCUGCACGAGCAAUGUUUAGAUGUAGAAUGUAGGAUGUAGGAAAUUACUGUGUAAAAGAUAAUGUAUGAUUGAGGACAGCUUUUUAAAUAAGAAUUAAUUAUCAACAACAUAAUGUCAUUAUCCCUUAUCAUUAUCUCUUACAAAUUAAAAACAACGCUUUCACUGAUGCUGCUCCAAUGGUGGGCCAACAUGCCCACCAUCCUACAAAAAAAUGCCUACCAAUUUCCUUUUGUAAGAUAUACCAAUGAUUAGUAGGGUAGAAAAUGACUAACGAAUUGGUAACAUUUACAAAAAAAAUCGUCAUAUAUACUAAAUUUUCCUCUCAGUGUAGUAAUCUAGAUCGAACAGUCGAAUACAAACUUGCGGCUUAAGCGGAAGUUUGGUCAGAAAAGAAUUUAUAAUACAGGUAAACCUGUUUUGUGCGAGGGACUGUGUCCGCACAAAACAGAUCGUACACAACUUCACCAUUAGCUUUAAAAAAAAAUUUCGCUACACAAUUUAAAAAAAAAUCGUGCCUUGUGGUCCCUCAUAAAAAAGCUUCCCAAUAAAAUAACUCUAAUCCUACACUGAGAGGAAUCAUUAGUAAAUAUUACUAAUUUUUUGGUACAUGUUACCAAUUCCCGAGUGAUUUUCUACCCUACUAAUCAUUGGUACAUUCUACGAAAACAGAUUGGUAGGUUUAUAUGUCAAACGAAACUACGAUCCGGACUGUACUACUGGUCCAGUGUUGGAUCAAUAUCAGCUCAAUGAAGGUGAUUUGUCGGUUCAAUAAAGGGCGUUUGUUGAUUAAC